rnacentral:rRNA from 1 species
UUCGGAAACGGACGCUAAUACCGCAUACGUCCUACGGGAGAAAGCAGGGGACCUUCGGGCCUUGCGCUAUCAGAUGAGCCUAGGUCGGAUUAGCUAGUUGGUGAGGUAAUGGCUCACCAAGGCGACGAUCCGUAACUGGUCUGAGAGGAUGAUCAGUCACACUGGAACUGAGACACGGUCCAGACUCCUACGGGAGGCAGCAGUGGGGAAUAUUGGACAAUGGGCGAAAGCCUGAUCCAGCCAUGCCGCGUGUGUGAAGAAGGUCUUCGGAUUGUAAAGCACUUUAAGUUGGGAGGAAGGGCAGUUACCUAAUACGUGAUUGUUUUGACGUUACCGACAGAAUAAGCACCGGCUAACUCUGUGCCAGCAGCCGCGGUAAUACAGAGGGUGCAAGCGUUAAUCGGAAUUACUGGGCGUAAAGCGCGCGUAGGUGGUUUGUUAAGUUGGAUGUGAAAUCCC